UAACCCUAAUUCUCUAUCCUUGUUUGGCGGCAGCCCUCUAUAUCGAGACCCCCACCCUCCUCGACUCUUGUGACCUUGAAACUCCCAAUCAGGGCUUGGUUGACCAACUUGGAACGGGUAAAUUAACAUAACCUACCGAGAAAACCAAAGGUCGUUAGGUACUUGGGAACAGGAACUUGCUGGCUGGAGUGCGUGAGUGGUCAUGGUUGCA